UCCGGUGUCGUCCAGAGGUUUAGGAUGUGACGUUUUCACCGUCAAGACCUGGGUUCGAACCCCAGCACCGGAG
rnacentral:tRNA from 1 species